rnacentral:lncRNA from 1 species
GAGACCCGACUGCCAAGCUCUACCCGACAGUCGGUCAGCUUUUGACUCACCGGACGCGCCCGACUCACAGCCGGGCGAAGGACGCCCGACUUAGGUCCUCGACCAUCGAAAGAUCGAUCUAAAGUCGGGACUUGUUCUACCUUCGUGGCUGCACGAAUUGCCGAACGUCCUAACUGAUCUGUAUGGGUUAGCGACUUACGUGUUCGGAUACAUUCCACAACACAUGAAAAGAG